rnacentral:lncRNA from 1 species
CCGACGCGGGACGGCGACUCGAAGCGGAGGCGCGCAGUUCUACAGGACGGUGCGGCGUUGCGGCGGCCGGGGCGGCACGAUGGUGGCGUCCUGGGUUGGCGGCGCGGGCGGCUGCUCAUCAGGGGCGUGGUGGGGCGUGCCUACGCGGGUGGCGGCUGUGGACGUCCUGGCCAGAUCUAGAUCGGGCGGGUGCUCUGGCCAGCAGCCAGCACGCGGCACGGGCUGAGGCGGCAAGGGCGCAUGCAUGCCUCUCACUUAUAUUAUGCGACAGUUGUGGAUGGGGGUAGGGGUUAGUCUGUUUAGUUAUGUCUGAGCGGAAUAAUUUUCCUACUCAAGAAAACGUGGCAACUUAUGUUUCAUUAGAGAUGGCUUUGUAGCAUAUUGCAUGAUCGAGUGAUUCAUAUUUUUGUCAUCAAGUCGUAUAAUUUGUUUGGUUAGGAUAGAAAGGUAAAUGCAUUGGUUGGUUGCUUCAAG